GAUGAACGCUGGCGGCGUGCCUAAUACAUGCAAGUCGAGCGAACAGAUGAGGAGCUUGCUCCUCUGACGUUAGCGGCGGACGGGUGAGUAACACGUGGAUAACCUACCUAUAAGACUGGGAUGACUUCGGGAAACCGGAGCUAAUACCGGAUAAUAUAUUGAACCGCAUGGUUCAAUAGUGAAAGACGGUUUUGCUGUCACUUAUAGAUGGAUCCGCGCCGCAUUAGCUAGUUGGUAAGGUAACGGCUUACCAAGGCAACGAUGCGUAGCCGACCUGAGAGGGGGAUCGGCCACACUGGAACUGAGACACGGUCCAGACUCCUACGGGAGGCAGCAGUAGGGAAUCUUCCGCAAUGGGCGAAAGCCUGACGGAGCAACGCCGCGUGAGUGAUGAAGGUCUUCGGAUCGUAAAACUCUGUUAUUAGGGAAGAACAAAUGUGUAAGUAACUAUGCACGUCUUGACGGUACCUAAUCAGAAAGCCACGGCUAACUACGUG
rnacentral:rRNA from 1 species